AAUAGAUACCCAGGUAGUCCACGCCGUAAACGAUGAGUGCUAGUUGUCGGCAUGCAUGCAUGUCGGUGACGCAGCUAACGCAUUAAGCACUCCGCCUGGGGAGUACGGUCGCAAGAUUAAAACUCAAAGGAAUUGACGGGGGGCCCGCACAAGCGGUGGAGCAUGUGGUUUAAUUCGAAGCGAACGCGCAGAACCUUACCACCUUUUGACAUGCCCGGACCACCAGAGAGAUCUGGCUUUCCCUUCGGGGACUGGGACACAGGUGCUGCAUGGCUGUCGUCAGCUCGUGUCGUGAGAUGUUGGGUUAAGUCCCGCAACGAGCGCAACCCACGCCAUUAGUUGCCAUCAUUUAGUUGGGCACUCUAAUGGGACCGCCGGUGGUAAGCCGGAGGAAGGUGUGGAUGACGUCAAGUCCUCAUGGCCCCUUACAGGGUGGGCUACACACGUGCUACAAUGGCGACUACAGAGGGUUGCAAGCCUGCGAAGGUGAGCCAAUCCCUAAAAGUCGUCUCAGUUCGGAUUG
rnacentral:rRNA from 1 species